rnacentral:rRNA from 1 species
GGGCAGCAAUGUCACCGUCGCACGGGUGCGUAACGCGUAUGCAACCUACCUAUCACAGGGGGAUAGCCUUUGGAAACAGGGAUUAAUACCGCAUAAAGCAGGGGCUCCGCAUGGAGAUAUUGCUAAAGAUUUAUCGGUGAUAGAUGGGCAUGCGUCUGAUUAGUUAGAUGGUGGGGUAACGGCCUACCAUGGCGAUGAUCAGUAGGGGGCGUCAGAGCGUGGUCCCCCACACUGGCACUGAGAUACGGGCCAGACUCCUACGGGAGGCAGCAGUAGGGAAUAUUGGGCAAUGGAUGCAAGUCUGACCCAGCCAUGCCGCGUGAAGGAAGAAGGUCCUCUGGAUUGUAAACUUCUUUUGUCGGGGAAGAAGAGUCAUCUUGCGAGGUGAUGUGACGGUACCCGAUGAAUAAGCCACGGCUAACUACGUGCCAGCAGCCGCGGUAAUACGUAGGUGGCAAGCGUUGUCCGGAUUUAUUGGGUUUAAAGGGUGCGUAGGUGGUUUAAUAAGUCAGUGGUGAAAGCUGGUUGCUCAACAAUCAAGUUGCCAUUGAUACUGUUAGACUUGAGAGAAGUGGAGGCUGGUGGAAUGGAUGGUGUAGCGGUGAAAUGCAUAGAUAUCAUCCAGAACGUCAAUUGCGAAGGCAGCUGGCUGUACUUUUUCUGACACUGAGGCACGAGAGUGUGGGGAUCAAACAGGAUUAGAUACCCUGGUAGUCCACACUGUAAACGAUGCGAACUAGCUUU